GAUGAACGCUGGCGGCGUGCCUAAUACAUGCAAGUCGAGCGAACGGACGAGAAGCUUGCUUCUCUGAUGUUAGCGGCGGACGGGUGAGUAACACGUGGAUAACCUACCUAUAAGACUGGGAUAACUUCGGGAAACCGGAGCUAAUACCGGAUGAUAUUUUGAACCGCAUGGUUCAAAAGUGAAAGACGGUCUUGCUGUCACUUAUAGAUGGAUCCGCGCUGCAUUAGCUAGUUGGUAAGGUAACGGCUUACCAAGGCAACGAUGCAUAGCCGACCUGAGAGGGUGAUCGGCCACACUGGAUCUGAGACACGGUCCAGACUCCUACGGGAGGCAGCAGUAGGGAAUCUUCCGCAAUGGGCGAAAGCCUGACGGAGCAACGCCGCGUGAGUGAUGAAGGUCUUCGGAUCGUAAAACUCUGUUAUUAGGGAAGAACAUAUGUGUAAGUAACUGUGCACAUCUUGACGGUACCUAAUCAGAAAGCCACGGCUAACUACGUG
rnacentral:rRNA from 1 species